GUUUCAAAGACGAGCUCUGGAAUUAGGCCUGGGACAGGAUUCCAACGGUCUCAUCUUUCAUGAC